UGCCUAAUACAUGCAAGUCGAACGCUUUGUGGUUCAACUGAUUUGAAGAGCUUGCUCAGAUAUGACGAUGGACAUUGCAAAGAGUGGCGAACGGGUGAGUAACACGUGGGAAACCUACCUCUUAGCAGGGGAUAACAUUUGGAAACAGAUGCUAAUACCGUAUAACAAUGACAACCGCAUGGUUGUUAUUUAAAAGAUGGUUCUGCUAUCACUAAGAGAUGGUCCCGCGGUGCAUUAGCUAGUUGGUAAGGUAAUGGCUUACCAAGGCGAUGAUGCAUAGCCGAGUUGAGAGACUGAUCGGCCACAAUGGGACUGAGACACGGCCCAUACUCCUACGGGAGGCAGCAGUAGGGAAUCUUCCACAAUGGGCGAAAGCCUGAUGGAGCAACGCCGCGUGUGUGAUGAAGGGUUUCGGCUCGUA
rnacentral:rRNA from 1 species